CGGCGGACGGGUGAGUAACACGUGGAUAACCUACCUAUAAGACUGGGAUAACUUCGGGAAACCGGAGCUAAUACCGGAUAAUAUUUUGAACCGCAUGGUUCAAAAGUAAAAGACGGUCUUGCUGUCACUUAUAGAUGGAUCCGCGCUGCAUUAGCUAGUUGGUAAGGUAACGGCUUACCAAGGCAACGAUGCAUAGCCGACCUGAGGAGGGUGAUCGGCCACACUGGAACUGAGACACGGUCCAG
rnacentral:rRNA from 1 species